rnacentral:rRNA from 1 species
GAUGAACGCUGGCGGCGUGCCUAAUACAUGCGAGUCGAGCGAACGGACGAGAAGCUUGCUUUUCUGAUGUUAGCGGCGGACGGGUGAGUAACACGUGGAUAACCUACCUAUAAGACUGGGAUAACUUCGGGAAACCGGAGCUAAUACCGGAUAAUAUUUUGAACCGCAUGGUUCAAAAGUGAAAGACGGUCUUGCUGUCACUUAUAGAUGGAUCCGCGCUGCAUUAGCUAGUUGGUAAGGUAACGGCUUACCAAGGCAACGAUGCAUAGCCGACCUGAGAGGGUGAUCGGCCACACUGGAACUGAGACACGGUCCAGACUCCUACGGGAGGCAGCAGUAGGGAAUCUUCCGCAAUGGGCGAAAGCCUGACGGGGCAACGCCGCGUGAGUGAUGAAGGUCUUCGGAUCGUAAAACUCUGUUAUUAGGGAAGAACAUAUGUGUAAGUAACUGUGCACAUCUUGACGGUACCUAAUCAGAAAGCCACGGCUAACUACGUG